rnacentral:rRNA from 1 species
UACAGAGGUCUCAAGCGUUGUUCGGAUUCACUGGGCGUAAAGGGUGCGUAGGUGGUGAGGAAAGUCGGAUGUGAAAUCUCCAAGCUUAACUUGGAAAUGGCAUUGGAAACUACCUUGCUGGAGGUUUGGAGGGGGGACUGGAAUUCUUGGUGUAGCAGUGAAAUGCGUAGAUAUCAAGUGGAACACCAGUGGCGAAGGCGAGUCCCUGGACACUUCCUGACACUGAGGCACGAAAGCUAGGGGAGCAAACAGG